ACUGCUCAGAAAUUUCAAUGAUAAUCGCUUGUGUGCUACUUUGUUACUCGUUGUGAGUUUAUUUCAUAAUUAAUAAUAUCCAACUUCUAAAGAAACAAGCUCCCUAUGCAUAUUGACAAUUCAAUUAGUCCACACCCUUCUUGAAGAAAGGUUUAAUGGUGCAUAGAAGCAAAAACAAAAUUAAUGCCUUUGGAGACCAAGAAAUAAACAUAACAACAG
rnacentral:misc_RNA from 1 species